AUUGAACGCUGGCGGCAGGCCUAACACAUGCAAGUCGAGCGGAUGACGGGAGCUUGCUCCUUGAUUCAGCGGCGGACGGGUGAGUAAUGCCUAGGAAUCUGCCUGGUAGUGGGGGACAACGUUUCGAAAGGAACGCUAAUACCGCAUACGUCCUACGGGAGAAAGCAGGGGACCUUCGGGCCUUGCGCUAUCAGAUGAGCCUAGGUCGGAUUAGCUAGUAGGUGAGGUAAUGGCUCACCUAGGCGACGAUCCGUAACUGGUCUGAGAGGAUGAGCAGUCACACUGGAACUGGUACACGGUCCUGACUCCUACGGGAGGCAGCAGUGGGGAAUAUUGGACAAUGGGCGAAAGCCUGAUCCAGCCAUGCCGCGUGUGUGAAGAAGGUCUUCGGAUUGUAAAGCACUUUAAGUUGGGAGGAAGGGCAGUAAGUUAAUACCUUGCUGUUUUGACGUUACCGACAGAAUAAGCACCGGCUAACUCUGUGCCAGCCGCCGCAGUAA
rnacentral:rRNA from 1 species